AGAAUCCUUUUCUUCCAUCACGGAAAUCACGUGGAAUUGGGCCACUGACUUAGGUGAGGAAGAACUCCUUCCAGGUCUCCAAAGCCAGGCUAGAAAAAAAGAUGAAGAAAAGAUGGAAGGAAUGAGGAUAACCAGAUGGGGAGAAAGACAGCUGUGUUAAAAACCGCAGUGCUCCACUUCUCUGCCCGGGCGCGAUGCAGGAGACUCCCUCCGGAAGGCGAGUGGCUGUGGGCCCUGCUGACGGUUCUCCAACGUCAGGUCCCUUCUGGAGGAGACAAGUGACACAAGAGUUA